UACGUAGGGAGCAAGCGUUGUCCGGAUUUACUGGGUGUAAAGGGUGCGUAGGCGGCUUUGCAAGUCAGAUGUGAAAUCUAUGGGCUCAACCCAUAGCCUGCAUUUGAAACUGCAGAGCUUGAGUGAAGUAGAGGCAGGUGGAAUUCCCCGUGUAGCGGUGAAAUGCGUAGAGAUGGGGAGGAACACCAGUGGCGAAGGCGGCCUCCUGGGCUUUAACUGACGCUGAGGCACGAAAGCGUGGGUAGUAAACAGG
rnacentral:rRNA from 1 species